ACACUGGGACUGACAACGGCCCAGACUCCUACGGGAGGCAGCAGUAAGGGAUAUUGCGCAAUGGGCGAAAGCCUGACGCAGCAACGCCGCGUGGAGGAAGAAGGCCUUCGGGUCGUAAACUCGUUUUGACGCCGACGAGCAAGGACGGUACGCGUCGAAUAAGUCACGGCUAACUACGUGCCAGCAGCCGCGGUAAAACGUAGGUGGCGAGCGUUAUCCGGAUUUACUGGGCGUAAAGGGUGUGCAGGCGGGUCGUCAAGUGGUGUAUGAAAACGCCCGGCUUAACCGGGCGAUGGUAGGCCAGACUGACGACCUAGAGGACGAGAGAGGGGCGUGGAAUUCCGGGUGUAGUGGUGAAAUGCGUAGAGAUCCGGAAGAACCCCAGAGGCGAAGGCGGCGCCCUGGCUCGUCCCUGACGCUCAGACACGACAGCAUGGGGAGCGAACGGGAUUAGAAACCCCGGUUGUCCAUGCCGUAAACGAUGCCAACUAGGCGCUGACGGUCUCAACCCCGCCGGUGCCGCAGCUAACGCGUUAAGUUGGCCGCCUGGGGAGUACGGUCGCAAGGCUAAAACUCAAAGGAAUUGACGAGGGCCCGCACAAGCAGCGGAGCGUGUGGUUUAAUUCGAGCCUACACGAAGAACCUUACCUGGGUUUGACAUGGCUGUGCACGACGGUGAAAGCCGAAGGGUCGCAAGACACAGUCACAGGUGCUGCAUGGCUGUCGUCAGCUCGUGCCGUGAGGUGUUAGGUUAAGUCCUGUAACGAGCGCAACCCCUGGGUCCAGUUACAUGUGUCUGGACCGACUGCCCGUGACAAGCGGGGGAAGGUGGGGAUGACGUCAAGUCAGCAUGGCCUUUAUAUCCAGGGCUACACACACGCUACAAUGGCCGGUACAAUGGGUCGCCAAGCCGCAAGGCGGAGCCAAUCCAGACAAAGCCGGUCACAGUUCGGAUUGUGGGCUGCAACCCGCCCACAUGAAGUCGGAGUUGCUAGUAACCGCCGGUCAGCUAUACGGCGGUGAAUACGUUCCCGGGCCUUGUACACACCGCCCGUCACGUCAUGGGAGCUGGUCACGCCUGAAGUCAGUAGGCUAACCGCGAGGACGCCGCUGUCCAAGGCAGGGCCGGUGACUGGGACGAAGUCGUAACAAGGUAGCAGUAGCGGAAGCUGCGGCUG
rnacentral:rRNA from 1 species